rnacentral:piRNA from 1 species
UUCAAGACCUUUCAGCUUGCAGGGUGC